rnacentral:tRNA from 1 species
AAGGAUUUAGUUUAAACAAAACAUUAAUUUGUCAAGUUAAAAAUAUUAUAUAAUUAAUAAUACUUA